AACGAACGCUGGCGGCAGGCCUAAUACAUGCAAGUCGAACGGGCGUAGCAAUACGUCAGUGGCGGACGGGUGAGUAACACGUGGGAACAUGCCCUUCGGUACGGAACAACUCAGGGAAACUUGAGCUAAUACCGUAUGCGCCGGCAACGGGAAAGAUUUAUCGCCGAAGGAUUGGCCCGCGUCCGAUUAGCUAGUUGGUGAGGUAAAGGCUCACCAAGGCACCGAUCGGUAGCUGGUUUGAGAGAACGACCAGCCACACUGGGACUGAGA
rnacentral:rRNA from 1 species